rnacentral:pre_miRNA from 1 species
GUAUGACUGUGUGUGGAUGGUGUUCAGCACCAAGGACAGGUAUGUACAUGUAUGACUGUGUGGAUGGUGUUCAGCAUCAAGGACAGGUAUGUACAUGU